rnacentral:rRNA from 1 species
GACGAACGCUGGCGGCGUGCUUAACACAUGCAAGUCGAACGGAAAGGCCCUGCUUUUGUGGGGUGCUCGAGUGGCGAACGGGUGAGUAACACGUGAGUAACCUGCCCUUGACUUUGGGAUAACUUCAGGAAACUGGGGCUAAUACCGGAUAGGAGCUCCUGCUGCAUGGUGGGGGUUGGAAAGUUUCGGCGGUUGGGGAUGGACUCGCGGCUUAUCAGCUUGUUGGUGGGGUAGUGGCUUACCAAGGCCUUGACGGGUAGCCGGCCUGAGAGGGUGACCGGCCACAUUGGGACUGAGAUACGGCCCAGACUCCUACGGGAGGCAGCAGUGGGGAAUAGUGCACAAGGGGCGGAAGCCUGAUGCAGCAACGCCGCGUGCGGGAUGACGGCCUUCGGGUUGUAAACCGCUUUCGCCUGUGACGAAGCGUGAGUGACGGUAAUGGGUAAAGAAGCACCGGCUAACUACGUG